ensembl:lncRNA
CCUGCUAGCCUUGUAGGAAAUUUUAACUUUGAAGAAAUCCCAGUCAACAGCACCGUUUAUUGAAGAGAGUGUUCUUUUCCCAUUACAUCUGACAUGAAGUGGUGUCAGCCUUCAGAGAUGGAAAUUAAUGAUGGAAUAAACUGGCAGUUGAAUACCUUCACCUGCACAUCAACCAUAUGGAAUUCCAUUGCUGCUCCUCUUCCCUACAUAGUUCCAACUCCAUUGGGAGCUUCUUCUCUAAUGGCACCUCAACCCAUUGUUCAUACCCAGCAAGGCCUAAGGACCAGUAGUCCUUCCACUCCAUCCCCAGAACAUCAGGAAACCUUGUGACUGGGAAUUUACCAUGGCUUAUACUGAAGGUCUUCGUGUAGCCUGAGGAGUCCGGCCCAAAGAAGAUUCAGGAACAUGAAAGCAGAGUUCAAACCUUUUUACAUCCAUGCUUUUUAUUGGGUUUGGUGGGAAAGGAAGAGCUUGGGUGGACAUAGGGGCAGAGGUAUUUGGAGGGGUGUAAUUACUCACCUUGGGGCCCAAGAUCAGGUUUUCUAAAUUGAGAACUGCAUAGUUACGGAAGGAACCCGGAGGACCCAGUGGGAUUUAGUGACAACCAUGGGAUGCAGAAUUAAUACUAGUGCCCUGAUGACUCACCAGAGGUCGUAGUCAAAAUGUAUUAGCACUAGAAGUGAGUCUGGAGAUCCUCUAGUCCAAAGCUCACAUUUCACAUGUGAGGACACUGAGCUAGAUAGGUGAAGACACUUGUCUAAUGAGGCACAGCCUGUUAAUGACAGGGUUAAACUAGAACCCAGGUUCUAGGGCCUAUUACGCAGUGGCAAGCCUAGGAAUGGAUUCUGGAAAUAAAGCAGGGUAAUGUCUGGGAGUCCCCAGGGCCAUCAUUCUGGCUGAUGAGGUGGUGGGGUCAGGUUGCAGAAGGGUUAGUUGCCUGGAACAAAGGACCUCUCCACAUCACCUUGGAUAAAUAACGUCAGUCCCAGGAAAAAGGAAAUCACAUUGCCACAUUUUACCUUGUCUAGGAAAAUCCUACCUUGUCCUCUCUUGUAUAAACAGAACAAAAACACGGAAGAUACAAUAACAAUACACAGUGAGAACACCACCAGCACAUUCAGCAACCCAGGGUAGUGAGUAUGGAGGCCCAUUGGCAUGUCUGGAAAUAGAAGAAACAUGUAUUCUGACUUACUAGGAAAUAGCCCCAAGAGGCUGGGACAGCUUAGCAUGCAGGAGCACUAUCACAAUUGAGAGCCCUCCAGGGGAGUUCCAAAGCACCUAGGGGAAACUGCACUUUCUGCUCUCAGAAGUCAGGAUUAGAAACUGAAUCAGAAGGUCGAGCAGAGGCUGUCUCAGAACAUCCUGAAAUGCUUGGCAUCUCUCUGAAGGCCUUGGGCUCUUUCCCAGUGGGCUUCCUGAGAGGAAAUGACCCCAGUGACCAGGCUCAGGAAAAAGGAGACACAUUCCCCCAGCCUCAGGAUUUGCAGCUCUUCGGAGUAAUUUCAGAGGCUUGUGGAGAUUGGGACAGAACCUGUUACCUGCACAGAGCAAACAUGGAGUGAGAGUUGUGGGUUCCCAGCUGUACAAAUUUAAGUCAGCUCUUGGUCCUCUGAGUUAUGGAAGUUGCUAAGGAUAUCACCCUCUUCUUCCAGGGAACUCCGAUUGCAUAUCACAUCAUUUUCUUCCUUCUCUGCAGAGCACAUUAGUGUGACAUUUGCAGGUACUAUUCGCUGAAGUCAUUAAACUCUGGCUUCCCAAAAUAUGAGCCAGUGGUGCACUAGAGCUGGCUUGUAUCAGCUUGUGAGAACCAAUUGUUAAAUUUCUAGAAAUUCUGCAAGAUGGUUGUUAAACACAGUCAUCAUUCAAAAUUAAAUUAUAAAAAUUUACAAUUAAAUUAUUUUAAAAGCAAAGGUAAUAAAUAUUCAAAAUUUAUCACCUUCUAAUUAUUUUUUGACAUUUGAAUGUUACCUGUGCUCUUGAGGUUAUUUACGUCGAUUUUAUCUGUAUGCUACUGGGCAUGUCUUCCCAACUCGACAUGGAUUGAAAUCAGCCAUUGCGAGAGUAUCUACGCAACAGAAAUUGGUAGAUGCUACAAACUACGGCUUGAUCUAUGUUUGUAACUCUAGACUUGAAAGCAAUGGAGAAAAUGUUACUAAUGCAGAUUCAGCUUAAAAGUGAGUUGUGUCUGUAGCCAUUAUUGUGAAUAGCACCAAAAAAUGAGGCAAUAUUUUUCUGGUAUUUGAAAACCAUUAUCCAAUUCAGCAAGUAAGUCACUCACAUUGUUGACGAAUGAUCCAAGUACCAAUAUAAAAAUAAUUGUUGAAUUACUUUUUUUAUUACUUAACAUAAAUGAAUAUAUCAACCAACAUUUAUGUCAGAACUACACUAGUUCAUCAAUUGCAACUAUAGGUUGUCUAGGGAGAUAUGUAUUUGGCAAAAAUCAAAAGCAUCCUGCCAGAAUUGGUUAUACGGAAUUUAUGAUAAAGAGUAUUGUAUAUUUUAUUAUCAUUUAUGAAAUUGUGUGCUAUACACCUUUUAUAUCAAUACAAUUUAUAAUAAAUACCUACCCCCUUUCUAAAGAGAAUUAGUUGAACAUUUAUCAGCACAACACUAUGUGAAAUGAUUUUUUUAAAGUUGUUCUGUUUCCUGCUGUAUGCAUAUUUUCUUUACAUUUUGUUUUGUUUUGUUUCAAAAGUGUCCAUGGUGAAAAACUACAACCUUUUAAAGUCUGUUUUAAAAAAUGCUUUUACUAAAGCAAUCUAAAGAUAAGCUGUAAAAAGUGUGGCCUACUGAAGGGUUACUAAAGAUCAAUCAUAUUUAAGAUCAGGUAAUAGCUAGAUUUGGAUCUGGCAAAAGAAAUUUCUUUUCUUUUCUUUUCUUUCUUUCUUUCUUUUUUUUUUUGCCAAGAGAUAAGAAAAUGACCACCUAUAGAGUUGAUAAGCUUAGUGUACUCUUGGAAAAGCUGCUGUAGCCAUGGCAGGAAGGAAAUAGAGGAGUUAGAAAGAAUUGGUAUACAACUUUCUAAUUAAGAGAAGACUAGAAAGGAAAUACAUUCAGCAGUAUAAAUAAGGGAAUCUUCUGUUUGUACCUGUAAGGGAGUAAAACACGAGUGAUAAGUUGAUAAGGCUUUUGGCUCCAAAAGAAAAACCUGGCCUGAAGUGUCAAAUCAUAUAUCUCUUAGAGGGAUUUAUUCCAGAUUAGAAUUAGUGAUAAUUUGGAGAACUAUUUCCUAAAGUUUGAAGUAAGUCCUUGAUUAGUUUUAAUAAUGAUUCAUAUAGAUAGGGAUCAGUGAAGUUGAACCAAAUUUGCAUGUGUGUCUGAUAUUUCAAUGUUUUUCUGUAGAAACAUUACCUACUUUUCCAAAACAAAAAAAUUUUUUGGAAGGCAUUGAGGUGGGGGAAAGUGGUGAAGAAUAGAGUUCCCAUAUACUUUUCUCUCCAGGAACAGAGACAUUAUCUCACAAAGCUGCUGACCAGAAAAAGUCAGAGUCAUGGUUAGCUAACAUGUCUUCAUCCUCCCAAGCCAAAUCGCAUAGAAGCCACUGGAGAACUAGUUUGGAAUUCCGGCUUCACUACUAUGUAGUUGUAGGAUUUUGGAGAAGCUGUACAGGUUCACUGAGCUUUAGUUUCCUCAUUCACAAUAUGACGAUACCAAUUUCUUCCUCAUAUUAUAUAUAAGGACAUAUCUAUGUCUAUAUGCUUGAUCGUACAUUAUCUGUGUAGAUAAACCGGUAACAGUGAUUGCCUCUGAGAAGAGAGACUUACUUUCCGUUGCAUAAUUCUUAGGCUCAUGGUAGAAUUUGUGCAAGUGGAUGAAGCACUGCCUCACUCGAAAACACUCCAGUGAAAGAAGAGAAAGGACAGAAAACAGCCCGAGGAAUAAUUACUUGGUUCUGUAUGACACAUGUGCUUUUAAAGGGUUGUAGUGUAGGAUGACAUUGGGUAAGUCCACGGUCCUAGAAGCCUAGGUGGAGUUCUUAGGAUUUUGUAUGUAGACUAUGAAGUUUUGGAAACGUUUGAGCUGGAGAGAAGACAUUCUGUUCAAAGGUGGCUUUCAGGAAAGGCUGGUGCGACAGGCAGGGUAUUUAUUAGAAUGAGGCCAGUGACCACUCUGAAACAGACACAAAGUAAGUUCCCUUCAAGGGGCAGAAAGCUCCCUGGGAUGGUGAGACCAGAAAGGCACAGAGGCUGAACCCUCGUGAUGGAGCUAGGUCCCAGGUUCGCUAGCAUCCGAGAGGGGGAUUGGGUCGCUCCAGAGGCCAUUGUGAAGGCUGCUGCCAGUUCUAGGGUCGGGGUGGGGUCAGGCUAGGUCCCUAUUCCUAGGGCUUUAGCACCGCUCACUCACAAAUCCCCUUUUCCCAGGAGGGCCUAAGGGUUUUUCCUGUCGCUCUAGCUUCUCUUCCGCGGCCCUUCCACGCUUGUCACUUACCUGAGGGCAGCCAAUGAGCACCUACAGGUUGGGCUACUUUCGG